GAUGAAGAACGUAGCGAAAUGCGAUAAUUAAUGUGAAUUGCAGAAUUUAGUGAAUCAUCGAAUCUUUGAACGCACAUUGCGCCCCUUGGUAUUCCGGGGGGCAUGCCUGUUCGAGCGUCAUUUCAACCCUCAAGCUCUGCUUGGUCUUGGGCCGCGCCGGCGACGGCGGGCCUCAAAAACAGUGGCGGCGCCAUCUGGUUCCUCAGCGUAGUAAUUCUUCUCGCUGUUGGGCCCGGGUGGCCGCUGGCCAGCAACCCCAAAUUUUCUAUGGUUGACCUCGUAUCAGGUAGGGAUACCCGCUGAACUUAAGCAUAUCAAUAAGCGGAGGA
rnacentral:misc_RNA from 1 species